rnacentral:tRNA from 1 species
GGGGUUGUGGCUCAGCGGUAGAGCGCUCGCCUCACACUUGAAAGACCCUGGGUUCGAUCCUCAGCACCA